rnacentral:misc_RNA from 1 species
GAUGAAGAACGCAGCGAAAUGCGAUAAGUAAUGUGAAUUGCAGAAUUCAGUGAAUCAUCGAAUCUUUGAACGCACAUUGCGCCCGCCAGUAUUCUGGCGGGCAUGCCUGUUCGAGCGUCAUUUCAACCCUCAGGCCCCCGGGCCUGGCGUUGGGGAUCGGCGGAGCCCCCCGUGGGCACACGCCGUCCCCCAAAUGCAGUGGCGGUCCCGCCGCAGCUUCCAUCGCGUAGUAGCUAACACCUCGCGACUGGAGAGCGGCGCGGCCACGCCGUAAAACACCCAACUCUUCUGAAGUUGACCUCGAAUCAGGUAGGAAUACCCGCUGAACUUAAGCAUAUCAAUAAGCGGAGGA